rnacentral:lncRNA from 1 species
UUUUUACUGCCCACACUUGUGCCUUCUGCGUUGUGCCAGAGCUUCUCCCACCCCGUACUCAUCCCACAGCUCAUUCAGCAGCCUUUUCAUCUGCUCCUCACCUGCGGUUUUGGCUGUCCAGUUCUCUGGUGACAACUGGGUUUUCUGGAGGCCGGUGAAGAGCAGUACCCAGAGACAACCAGACCAGGACCUGACAAAUCAGGUGGGUGCAUCAGCCCGUGGCUCUUUGAGCAUCCUUCCUCCUGGAUGCUCCCCUCGGUGUGCGUCCCAAAGUUUGGGGUGAAAUGCUGUCUCACAGAGUGAAAAAGGCUCAGUUCCAAGUUACUGACACAGACCCGUUGCCUGCAUGAAAUUUGCUCCAUUUGGGAGCUACAGGUCCUGGGAGAUUUGGAUUCCUUGGUGCCUGUUCCAGACUUUUACCUUCUGUUUCUGUAAGAAUUCAGAAGCCAAUUGAAACUGGAGCCGCUGUUUACCUCUGUCUUUGUGC